AUUGAACGCUGGCGGCAUGCUUUACACAUGCAAGUCGAACGGCAGCGCGGGCUUCGGCCUGGCGGCGAGUGGCGAACGGGUGAGUAAUGCAUCGGAACGUGCCCAGUAGUGGGGGAUAGCCCGGCGAAAGCCGGAUUAAUACCGCAUACGACCUGAGGUGAAAGCGGGGGACCGAAAGGCCUCGCGCUAUUUGAGCGGCCGAUGUCGGAUUAGCUCGUUGGUGGGGUAAAGGCCUACCAAGGCGACGAUCCGUAGCUGGUCUGAGAGGACGACCAGCCACACUGGGACUGAGACACGGCCCAGACUCCUACGGGAGGCAGCAGUGGGGAAUUUUGGACAAUGGGGGCAAGCCUGAUCCAGCCAUGCCGCGUGCGGGAAGAAGGCCUUCGGGUUGUAAAGCGCUUUUGUUCGGGAAGAAAUCCUCUGGGUUAAUACCCCGGGGGGAUGACGGUACCGGAAGAAUAAGCACCGGCUAACUACGUG
rnacentral:rRNA from 1 species